rnacentral:rRNA from 1 species
CGGCGGCUCGAGUGGUGGCCACUUUUAUUGGGCUUAAAGCGUUCGUAGCUUGGUUGUUAAGUCUCUUGGGAAAUCUCACGGCUUAACCGUGAGGCGUCUAAGGGAUACUGGCAACCUAGGGACCGGAAGAGGUGAGAGGUACUCCAGGGGUAGGAGUGAAAUCCUGUAAUCCUUGGGGGACCACCUGUGGCGAAGGCGUCUCACCAGGACGGCUCCGACAGUGAGGGACGAAAGCUGGGGGAGCAAACCGGAUUAGAUACCCGAGUAGUCC